AUUGAACGCUGGCGGCAGGCCUAACACAUGCAAGUCGAGCGGAUGAAGGGAGCUUGCUCCUGGAUUCAGCGGCGGACGGGUGAGUAAUGCCUAGGAAUCUGCCUGGUAGUGGGGGAUAACGUCCGGAAACGGGCGCUGAUACCGCAUACGUCCUGAGGGAGAAAGUGGGGGAUCCUCGGACCUCACGCUAUCAGAUGAGCCUAGGUCGGAUUAGCUAGUUGGUGGGGUAAAGGCCUACCAAGGCGACGAUCCGUAACUGGUCUGAGAGGAUGAUCAGUCACACUGGAACUGAGACACGGUCCAGACUCCUACGGGAGGCAGCAGUGGGGAAUAUUGGACAAUGGGCGAAAGCCUGAUCCAGCCAUGCCGCGUGUGUGAAGAAGGUCUUCGGAUUGUAAAGCACUUUAAGUUGGGAGGAAGGGCAGUAAGUUAAUACCUUGCUGUUUUGACGUUACCAACAGAAUAAGCACCGGCUAACUUCGUG
rnacentral:rRNA from 1 species